GUGAGGAAUAUUGGACAAUGGGCGCAAGCCUGAUCCAGCCAUGCCGCGUGCAGGAAGACGCAUCUAUGGUGUGUAAACUGCUUUUGUACGGGAAGAAACACUCCCUCGUGAGGGAGCUUGACGGUACCGUAAGAAUAAGGAUCGGCUAACUCCGUGCCAGCAGCCGCGGUAAUACGGAGGAUCCAAGCGUUAUCCGGAAUCAUUGGGUUUAAAGGGUCCGUAGGCGGUUUAAUAAGUCAGUGGUGAAAGCCCAUCGCUCAACGAGGGAACGGCCAUUGAUACUGUUAGACUUGAAUUACAAGGAAGUAACUAGAAUAUGUAGUGUAGCGGUGAAAUGCUUAGAUAUUACAUGGAAUACCAAUUGCGAAGGCAGGUUACUACUUGUGGAUUGACGCUGAUGGACGAAAGCGUGGGGAGCGAACAGGAUUAGAUACCCUGGUAGUCC
rnacentral:rRNA from 1 species